rnacentral:rRNA from 1 species
UUGACCUCGGAUCAGGUAGGACUACCCGCUGAACUUAAGCAUAUCAAUAAGCGGAGGAAAAGAAACCAACAGGGAUUGCCCCAGUAACGGCGAGUGAAGCGGCAACAGCUCAGAUUUGGAAUCUGGCCCCCAGGGCCCGAGUUGUAAUCUGGAGAGGAUGCUUCUGGCGCGGCGCCUUCCGAGUUCCCUGGAACGGGACGCCGGAGAGGGUGAGAGCCCCGUACGGUUGGACGCCUAGCCUUUGUGAAGCUCCUUCGACGAGUCGAGUAGUUUGGGAAUGCUGCUCAAAAUGGGAGGUAAAUUUCUUCUAAAGCUAAAUACCGGCCAGAGACCGAUAGCGCACAAGUAGAGUGAUCGAAAGAUGAAAAGCACUUUGAAAAGAGGGUCAAACAGUACGUGAAAUUGUUGAAAGGGAAGCGCCCGUGGCCAGACUUGUGCCCCGCGGACCACCCGGCGCCCUCAGCGCCGGUGCACUCCGCGGGGCGCAGGCCAGCAUCGGUUUUCCUAGGGGGAUAAAGGCGGCGGGAACGUGGCUCCCUCGGGAGUGUUAUAGCCCGCCGCGCCAUGCCCCUGGGGGGACCGAGGACCGCGCUUCGGCAAGGAUGCUGGCGUAAUGGCCACCGGCGACCCGUC